rnacentral:rRNA from 1 species
ACUCCGAAUGCCGUCAUCUUAUACUUGGGAGUCAGACUGUGGGUGAUAAGAUUCAUAGUCGAAAGGGCAACAGCCCAGAUCGUCAGCUAAGGUCCCUAAAUGUAAGUUAAGUGGUAAAGGAUGUGGGAUUGCACAGACAACCAGGAUGUUGGCUUAGAAGCAGCCACUCAUUCAAAGAGUGCGUAAUAGCUCACUGGUCGAGUGAUCCUGCGCCGAAGAUUUCCGGGGCUAAAACUUACUACCGAAGCUACGGCAUCAGUAAUGAUGGGUAGGGGAGCUUCCCAUACGGGUUGAAGCAUGACCGUAAGGACAUGUGGACAGUAUGGGAGUGAGAAUGUUGGCAUGAGUAGCGAGAUGUGGGUGAGAAUCCCACAGGCCGUAAACCCAAGGUUUCCAGGGGAAGGUUCGUCCGCCCUGGGUUAGUCGGGACCUAAGCUGAGGCCGAAAGGCGUAGGUGAUGGACAACAGGUUGAUAUUCCUGUACUACCGAUAACCGUUUGAGAGAAGGGAUGACACAGUAGGAUAAGCUAAGCACACUGUUGGUUAUGUGUGCCCAAGCAUUGAGGCAGUCAAAGUAGGCAAAUCCGCUUUGAUAAUGCUGGGAUGUGAUGGGGAGCGAAAUUUAGUAGCGAAGUAGCUGAUUUCACACUGUCAAGAAAAGUCUCUAUCGAGGUUAAAGGUACCCGUACCGCAAACCGACACAGGUGGGUGAGGAGAGUAUCCUAAGGCCAGCGAGAGAACUGUUGUUAAGGAACUCGGCAAAAUGACCCCGUAACUUAGGGAUAAGGGGUGCCACCAUCAGGUGGCCGCAGAGAAUAGGCCCAAGCGACUGUUUACCAAAAACAUAGGUUUCUGCUAAGUCGCAAGACGAUGUAUAGGAGCUGACGCCUGCCCGGUGCUGGAAGGUUAAGGGGAUCUGUUAGAGCAAUCGAAGCAGUGAACUUAAGCCCCAGUAAACGGCGGCCGUAACUAUAACGGUCCUAAGGUAGCGAAAUUCCUUGUCGGGUAAGUUCCGACCCGCACGAAAGGCGUAACGAUUUGGGCACUGUCUCAACAACAGACUCGGUGAAAUUGUAAUUCCGGUGAAGAUGCCGGAUACCUGCGACAGGACGGAAAGACCCCAUGGAGCUUUACUGUAGCUUGACAUUGGGUCUUGGUACUACAUGUACAGGAUAGGUGGGAGGCUUUGAAACCAGGACGCCAGUUUUGGCGGAGCCAUCCUUGGGAUACCACCCUUGUAGUACUGGGACUCUAACCAUAGGCCAUGAAUCUGGUCUUGGGACACUGUCAGGCGGGCAGUUUGACUGGGGCGGUCGCCUCCCAAAAGGUAACGGAGGCGCUCAAAGGUUCUCUCAGUACGGUCGGAAAUCGUACGUAGAGUGUAAAGGCAAAAGAGAGCUUGAUUGCAAGACAUACAGGUCGAGCAAGGAUGAAAAUCGGACUUAGUGAUCCGGUGGUUCUGCGUGGAAGGGCCAUCGCUCAACGGAUAAAAGCUACCCUGGGGAUAACAGGCUUAUCUCCCCCAAGAGUCCACAUCGACGGGGAGGUUUGGCACCUCGAUGUCGGCUCAUCACAUCCUGGGGCUGUAGUAGGUCCCAAGGGUUGGGCUGUUCGCCCAUUAAAGUGGUACGCGAGCUGGGUUCAGAACGUCGUGAGACAGUUCGGUCCCUAUCCGUCGCAGGCGUAGGAAAUUUGAGAAGACCUGUCCUUAGUACGAGAGGACCGGGAUGGACGUACCUCUGGUGUACCAGUUGUCCUGCCAAGGGCAUGGCUGGGUAGCUAUGUACGGAAUGGAUAAGCGCUGAAAGCAUCUAAGCGCGAAGCCAACUUCAAGAUAAGAUUUCCCACCGCAAGGGUAAGACCCCAGAAAGACUAUCUGGUUGA